CAAGAAAAAUGGGUUUUAAUAGCAGACCGAAAUAGCGUUUUUUACGAUUGUGCUAUGUUUGACAUACCCAUUAGUCUUAGAUAGCGUUUGUAUAUUUAGAAAUGCUAUGAUAAAGUGGUAUAUUUGGAAACGCUAUGAUAACAUAUGGUUUUUUAUAUGUAACACUCGUGUUUAAUAGCAAAACAUGAUUAAAAAUGCUAUGUUUGGUUUUUGAAUCCCUAAACCCUAAAACAAGUUUUUAAGCCCUAAACUCUAAAUACAAACUUUAAACUCUAUUUUAACAUCAAAUCAUAAAUUUAACUUCAAAUGUUAGAUAUAAAUUCAAAAAUUAAUCUUUUUCCAAAAAUUUAUCUCAAAUCUUAAAAUCAAUAUCUCAAACCAUUAAGUUUUAAACCCUAUACUCAUACAUUUAUUCUAAACUCUACAAGUAAUAAAAAAAAUCUCAACAAUAAACCUUAAAUCAUAAACAUAAAUCUUAACUUUCAAACAGUAAAAAGUUUAAAUCACCAACUUCUAAAUCAUAAACAUAUAAACUCUAAAGCAUAUAACAAAAUAAUAAAUUCAAAAUCAAAAAUAUAACUCUUAAGUUUGUAUAUAAAAAAUACUUAACAUAACUCUAAUUAUUCAAACCCUAUCAUGAAAAUUUUAAAAAUCAUAAAUCCACAAAAUUCAAAUCUAAUUUACAUAAUCUUUAAAUUUAGGCAAAUUUUAAAAGAAUUAAAAGGAAAUGUAAAACAAUUUUUUUUUGCCCUUUUUUUAUGGCCAUUGAUUGAGUAUAGUCUAAAGGUUAAAAUUAUUUUUUUUUAUCAAUUUUCAACCUUCUCUUUUAUUGGUUGACUUUUUUUUUCGAGGAUCGCAAUUUUUAGCCAUUGAUGAAAUAUAAUCAAAUGGCCACAAUUCAAUCUCUCUCUUUCUCAUUUAUCUUCUCCUUUAAGAAACAGAUCAAGUCUUUCCAGAUCCUCUCUACGACGUUUUCUCCUUCUUCACCACUCACAACGAUUCCGACUUCUCCUCCGCCACGGCUACUCCCUCCACGCUUAUCAAGCCUUGCUCUUACUCCUCCUCUUCUACCUGCGGCGAUGAAUCUCACCCUUCCGGCGACGACAUCAACAAGCGAAUCGAUUAAAUGAUCCAAUCGAGGUCAGACCUCAUCCUCUUUAAGGGAAAGUCAAAGCAGACGGUUCUUGAGGAGGAUAACGAUAUAUGACAAUUGUGGGCUGAGCCGAGGACGGUGGAUUGAAGGUAUGGUACUUCGACGGACUCUAUAAAUAACAUAUGGUUUCUACAAAAUGGCCUUUGUCAAUUUGCUUGUAUGGUAAACAGAUCCAGUAGCCGUAGCAGAGCAGCGCCUGAGGUAAAGGACAAUCCCGAGCUUCUCUCCGCUGACACGGAGAAGACAGAGGAAGAGGAAGACAUUGUUGGCAGAUCCGAGCUCUCUCCACUGCGACUCCAGUCACGCCUCCGACGCUUCCGCUGCUCACCUCGCCAGCUUUGACGGAGAAGACAAACAGGCGGCUGAGAAAAUUAGAUCUAGGGUUUUUUUUUUUAAUUUGGGUUUAGGCUUUUUAAAUUUUUUUUGGUGUAGUUUUCUGUAAUACAAUUUUAUAAUUUAUAAAUAAAUUUUGAUUUAUAAAUAAAAUUUAAUUAUAAGUUGCAAUUUCGAUUUAUAUUUUAAUUUUUUAAUUUUUUAUUUUAACUGCUAGAGUAGAAUUAACUAUUAAUCACAGAAAAUGUUAUUUAUAAAAUUAGUAAUAGCAGUAAAAAGAUGCUAUUAAAUAAUAUUUAAUUGCAGAAAUAAAAGCGCUAUCGUAGCGGAAGAAAAGAUGGCACAACGAAAUACCGCUAUUUAAUGUCCUCGACCUAUUAUGACGGGCGAUGAUACAGCGCUUAACAAACCGCUAUCCUAUCGUUAGAUAGCGUUAUUCGUCCGCUAUAAAAACGCGUUUUUCUUGUAGUGUCCUGUGUCAAAAAGUGCAUGGGGAAAUUCAAUACCCUUUACCAAACAUGGUAUUGCAAACUUCCCAGGAUCACUCUUCUUCUUCAAUGUGAUCCUUAGUUUCAUCAUUUCCCUGAUGUAAUGAAACAUUCUCCUAAUGUCCUCCUCAGUUUCCUUAGUCUCCCUGCAGAACAUCCACAACAGGUGUGUGUAAUAAACUUCAUCAAAAUGUUUUUCCACCAGGAUUAUGAGGACUCUCUUAGUUAAACCAUCCAUCUCCUUCUCAUUAGCUUCCCUCUUAAGGUGUUUAGGAAUCUUCUCCUUCCUUUUCCUUAACAUUCUUCCCUCAGUUUCCUAAUCAACUUGCAUAGGCUCUGAUGUAGUGUCUGAAGGGUUGGUUGUAGGUUCUGGUGGGUUUGCUAAAGGUUUAGGUGGUGGUCUGAGUGCGUUGAUUCGGUUACUAUCAAUUGAUGGUAAUCGCACUCGGUAGGUGAGAGGUGCCUGAUGUGUUGUGAUUUUGCAUAGUUUUAGCUUUGUUAUUUCAUAUAUAUUCAUGCAUUAACCUUACAUUUAUUUGCAUUUAGAGUCUAUUGCAUGUACAUUUGCAUCUUGUAGGUGUUGGAUGAAUUGUUUGGAGUUUUGGAGGUGAUUAGAGCACAAAAGGAGCUUUCGAGGAGUCUUGAACCGAACGUGUGAAAGACAGGCAUGGAUGAAGGUCUUAAAGAUAUCUUUUGAAACUUGUCUUUUGGGAAGACAUGGUAAAUUGAGUUAGCUUUACAAUGGAGGUGGUUUCAAGUCGUUUGGAGCUGUAUUGAGGGAUUUAUGAUCAAAAUACUACACACAUAUCAGUGUGUGCAACAUGGAGAAAGUGGAGAAAACUUUAAUGAGUGAGUUUUAUCUCUUUAAAGCUUGCAACAUGGGGGAUGGGUUGUCUAUCAUGAGUUUGGUGGCUCUUUUGGCCUAACUUUCUCUACCUUUUCUGAAGAGGCAAGACUACUUUGGCCAUAUGAAGGGGCAAAAGGUGUUCUAUAAUGGAAGAAAGUGGAGAAUAACUUUUAUGAGUGUGUUUUAUGCUUUAUGCUUUCACAUGAUGGAUGUGUUGUCAUCCUCCUUUACUUAGGCUAUAAAAGAGACUGCAAGGGGAAGGAGGAAGACACACAAUACACAGAGUACAAUACAACAAAGAGUAGAGAGUGAAAGUUUUAUAGUUUCAUAUUUUGUAUUUUGAGAGUUUGAGAGAAAACAUUUGUUCUUGAGCUGUUCUUCAUUGUUCAUCAUCUAUUCUUGAGUUUUAAUUUC